CAACCCUCAAGCCCUCGGGUUUGGUGUUGGGGAUCGGCGAGCCCUUGCGGCAAGCCGGCCCCGAAAUCUAGUGGCGGUCUCGCUGCAGCCUCCAUUGCGUAGUAGUAAAACCCUCGCAACUGGAACGCGGCGCGGCCAAGCCGUUAAACCCCCAACUUCUGAA
rnacentral:misc_RNA from 1 species